rnacentral:rRNA from 1 species
GAUGAACGCUGGCGGCGUGCCUAAUACAUGCAAGUCGAGCGAACGGACGAGAAGCUUGCUUCUCUGAUGUUAGCGGCGGACGGGUGAGUAACACGUGGAUAACCUACCUAUAAUACUGGGAUAACUUCGGGAAACCGGAGCUAAUACCGGAUAAUAUUUUGAACCGCAUGGUUCAAAAGUGAAAGACGGUCUUUCUGUCACUUAUAGAUGGAUCUGCGCUUCAUUAGCUAGUUGGUAAGUUAACGGCUUACCAAGGCAACGAUGCAUAGCCGACCUGAGAGGCGGAUAGCCCACACUGGAACUGAACCACGGUCAAGACUACUACGGGAGGCAGCAGUAGGGAAUCUUCGGCAGUGGGCGAAAGCCUGACAGAGCAGCGCGGAGUGAGUGAUGAAGGUCUUCGGAUCGUAAAACUCUGUUAUUAGGGAAGAACAUAUGUGUAAGUAAAUGUGCCCAUCUUGACGGUACCUAAUAAGAAAGCACCGGCUAACUACGUG